rnacentral:tRNA from 1 species
AGUUCUAUACUUUAAAAAAAAGUUUUGACUUGCACUCAACCAUUGAAUAAUUAUUCUAGAACUAC